rnacentral:rRNA from 1 species
AUUGAACGCUGGCGGCAGGCCUAACACAUGCAAGUCGAACGAGUGGCGGACGGGUGAGUAAUGUCUGGGAAACUGCCUGAUGGAGGGGGAUAAUUACUGGAAACGGUAGCUAAUACCGCAUACCAUCAGAUGUGCCCAGAUGGGAUUGGCUUGUUGGUGGGGUAACGGCUCACCAACGCGACGAUCCCUAGCUGGCCUGAGAGGAUGACCAGCCACUCUGGAACUGAGGCACGGCCCAGACUCACACGAGAGGCAGCAGGGGGUAAUUAUGCACAAUGGGCGCAAGCCUGAUGUAGCCAUGCCGCGUGUAUGAAGAAGGCCUUCGGGUUGUAAAGUACUUUCAGCGGGGAGGCGUAACCGCAGAGGAAGCAUCGGCUAACUCCGUGCCAGCAGCCGCGGUAAUAC